rnacentral:rRNA from 1 species
UACGAAGGGGGCUAGCGUUGCUCGGAAUCACUGGGCGUAAAGGGUGCGUAGGCGGGUCUUUAAGUCAGGGGUGAAAUCCUGGAGCUCAACUCCAGAACUGCCUUUGAUACUGAAGAUCUUGAGUUCGGGAGAGGUGAGUGGAACUGCGAGUGUAGAGGUGAAAUUCGUAGAUAUUCGCAAGAGCACCAGUGGCGAAGGCGGCUCACUGGCCCGAUACUGACGUUGAGGCACGAAAGCGUGGGGAGCAAACAGG